rnacentral:lncRNA from 1 species
GGGAGAUGGAGCCCAGGGAGAUGGAGCCCAGGGGAGAUGGAGCCCCGGGAGAUGGAGCUCUGGGAGAAGGAGCCCCGGGAGAUGGAACCCAGCAGAGAUGGAGCCCCGAAGAAGGAGCCCCGAAGAUGCAGCCCCCGAAGCAGCAGCCCUGCGGCAGGCUGGGGCCCGUAGCACUGGCAGGAGCCGCUUGGUGUCACUCGCCCACCGGGAGAGCCGCGGGAGCCAAGGGAGCCGGGCCCGCUGGGCGGCCGUGGCCAGCAGCGCCGGGGGAACGGGCACGGCUCCUCCGCAAGGAUUCACACGGUUCCGAGCCGUUCCGUGCUGGGAACGGGCACGGCUCCUCCGCAAGGAUUCACACCGCUCCGAGCCGUUCCGUGCUGGGAACGGGCACGGCUCCUCCGCAAGGAUUCACACCGUUCCGAGCCGUUCCGUGCUGGGAACGGGUGCUGUGCCAGUUCACACCGUUCCGAGCCGUUCCGCGCUGGGAACGGGUGCUGUGCCAGUUCACACCGCUCCGAGCCGUUCCGUGCUGGGAACGGGUGCUGUUCCACCGGCACACUAUUGCAGUCUGAAGUGCUUCUGCAGGGAAAGUUGGCCCUGGCAUAGUCUGGCUUGGGUUGAAGGUCUGCUUUCAUUUCCAGUCCUGCCUUGCAAUGGAAAAAGGCAGAUACAGCAUCCCUGAGUCUGGAGUCGCCUUCACCUGCGCUUCCCAGGGCUGCAGAACGGAAAAGCGACCCCGGUGCCUCUGAGGGGCAGCACUGGAGGCUCUCCCUCCCCACACGAGAGUGCCUCAGCAGGAUGGACACCAGGGCCCUUCCUCUCUCCUGGAAGAUGAAGAUCUGGAGGGAGCCUGUUCCACGCCUCUGGGGACUCAGCCAUCUGUAGAUUCUUACCUUCUCCUUCCCUGCUCACUUAUGACUCUCACUGGAACCAGAUUUAAUGCUACACUGCUUAGAAAGCAUGAAGAGUCAAGGCCUCCUGGUUUAUUUUGUCUUUGGAAUAAAGGGUUACAAUGUUUGGAGAUUUCCUUCA